AGUAAAAUGUAUAUAGUAUAUAGUAAAAAUGGAUAAAAUAAAAGAGGGAUAAAGUAAAAGAGUAAAAUAUAUACAGUUAUGUACAGUCGAGGAGAUUCCCCCAACGACAGAGAGUCCUCCUCCAGACAGUAAGGGGGUUUUCACGUUCUCCCCUCAUCUCAAGGCUCAGAAAGAACCUGUGUAUGGAUGACUUGGCAGACGCGAGGAUGGCGAGGGCGUCGUCAUCCAGUCCUUGACCAAAGAGCCAGCCCUGCAGGUCGGGUGGUUGCUGUAUGAUGUUGAAGGCCUCCCGUAUGAGGGGCCUGAUGGAGCUGCAGGACCAAUAGCGGUGGGCCAACGUCAGGUCGCUAGAGCCACAGGCGAUACAGGUCUCUCGAGCAGAGGCCGGAUGUGCAGGAUGGGGAAGAGCGUGCAGGGCCAGCUGUACUGCAAUGUCGGCAUUGUGCCCUGAAAAGGCGCAACGUCGAAGCGAUGGCCAGCCGACGGUGAGAGGAAUAUUGACAGUCUUGCCAACGGUACAGAAGCUGGGCGAUGGGCAGGGUUGCCAGGCGUGGUCGCUCAAUUGUACGGCGGAUGGUGCGGGUAGUUACGCGCAUGAGCGGAGUCACCAUUCCGCGUAGCACCACAGCUUCGCCUAGGUUGUCCGCCCGGUGGGACCCUAGGAGGUUUUCUUCAAUCAGCCUAUUGCAGAAGUUGGCCAACGCUGUGGCGUCUGCAAGAGCGCAACGGGUCAGACGAGUGAGCUGUGACACAGGGCCAUCGAAGUCCCCGAUACGUGCUCCUAUCCACCGUGCAGCGGCUAGGAGGUCAGGUGGCCGGAGGAACCUGCAUCCUCCGAUUAUGGCGAGGUCCCUCAGCUGUUGUGUUGGAACUAUCCGGUGGUCCAGUGCUAGGAAGUCUGAAACUGCUUCCCAUAUCUUCAUUAGUCUACGACAUCGAGGUGGAAGCCAUGUCCCGGAUGGAAGGGGAGUUAACCAGGCCCCACUAUCAGUGAGCCAAGAGUAGGCGUUGAGACUUCCACGAAGCGAAGCUUGGACACCUUCCAUACACGCCAGUCUCAGCUGCGUGCCGACGUCGAGGAGGCCGAAGCCACCCAUGGAGACAAGGCGUGCUAGAACACCUCCCGGCAGCCAGGCGGUGCGCCCAGGUCCCCAGACGAAACGCACCAGUCGAGCUUGGAGCUUAGAGAUGGUGGAGUCGGUAGGCAGGUAUCCGUGAAGAUGGUGUACCACUGAGGAGAGCACCAGGGAGUUUGAAGAAGUUUUAAAAGCAUCCAUAUCUCUCUUUUUUAAAAAGCAUGAAUUAAUUGAAAGGAAUCAAUAUUUUUACAAUGCAAUUUUGCUUGAUCAAAAUGUGUGAAUUUCCACGAAAGGUUUAUCUGUAUUUUUCUAAAAUCUAAACAUUCUUUUAUAAUCUAUUUUCAUAAUGAAAAAAUAGAGCUUAACAUGCGUAAACAAUUUUAUUAACACUUACAGCCCGGCGGACGUAUAUUUACGUCCCGCAUCUUUAAAAAUCGGUAUAAAAUCGGCCGUUAAAGUACGUUCCUCUGGAUUCUGGGUACAACGUCCUUGAAGUGUCCAUCAACAAUUGGCUAGUUGCUAACACGUGUUCCUCUCCUCCCUUCCCCCCAGAUUCCAUUUUUGUGACUCAUAUACCCACGUGCGGUCAUUUGUUUAUCUUCUACUGUUUCCUUGACGUAGAGUGCUGCUAUCUUUUUUGUUCUUCAUUCGCUCGCUCUAAAAAUGGAUCCCAACAUGCCCAGUACCUCAGGAAUUGAUAUAUUCAAUGUUCCUGAAGCUGAUGAAGAGUUGGAGGAUUAUUUCUUAGCAGAUUCUGGGUCUGAACUAGAUGAUUCUAUUGAAGAUCCUCAAUUUACUUUGGAAGGUCUAGAAUCUGAUACAACUGAAAUUUAUUAUGAAGAAAGUGAGGAAGAGGUAACUAUUUUUUAUUUUUCUCUCAUCAUAUUCAUAUAUUUCAACUUUUUUUUUUUUUAGCAAAUAAGACAACCUACCCCUGAAGAUGAAGGAUGGACCGAGGUAAGAUUACCUUUGGAAAAGCCUACAUUUUCUGGAACCUCUGGACCGAAGGCAGCUUUCUUUCCUGGAACUCUCUCUCCCUAUUCAGUAUUCAAGCAGUUUUUUGAUGAAUUGUUUAGAACGAUAAAGUUGGAAACCAACAAAUAUGCAAGGAUGGUGAUUGAUAAAGAGAGAAAGAAAGGCCCUUUGAAUCCUAGAGGGUUGUUGGCAAAGUGGAAAGCUGUUUCAAUUGCUGAAUUGAAGAUAUUUUUGGCAAUAAUCAUUCAUAUGAGCCUUGUAGUAAAACCAAGGCUAAGAGAAUAUUGGUCAAACCACAUUGGAAUGAGGACAGCUUUCUGCAAAUCGACUGGAAUGGCAAGGGAAAGAUUUGAGGCCAUUUUAUCAAUGCUCCAUCUGAAUGAUAAUAUGCUAUAUAUUCCACAUGGACAACCAGGAUAUGAUCCAAUUUACAAGAUAAGAACCUUAUUUGAUUCCCUUGUCAAUAAAUUCCGAACCUGGUACUCGCCUGAUGAAAAUUUGACAAUUGAUGAGGCCAUUUGUCCUUUUCGUGGACGGGCUCAUUUCCGAGUAUAUAUAAAGGGCAAACCUCAUAAAUAUGGGAUCAAGAUUUAUGAGAUUUGUGAAUCAAGUACAGGGUAUACCUGUAACAUGGAUAUAUAUACUGGAAGGCAUCCUCAUCAAGACCUUCAAUAUAAUUCUAUAUUGAGCUUAGUUGACAGGAUUGCUGAACCUUACUACCAGAAAGGCCACAUCAUCUAUUUCGAUAGGUGGUUUUCCUCUCCCCAACUUUUCAAUCAUUUAUGGGAAAAGAUAACACUUGCAGUAGGAACAGUCAGGCAUAACAGAAAGGGAUUGCCAAAAAAAGCUUUCUCGAAAAAACUGAAAAAAGGUGAAAGCCUCUUUUGUCAAAACAGUCAGCUUCUCGCAUUGAAAUGGCGUGACACCAGGGAUGUCUUUAUGAUAGCAACAACCCAAGAUUCCAGCAUGAUCCAGCCUCAAACCAUUUCGAUAACCAAACCUGCUAUUGUAGUUGACUACAAUAAAAACAAGGCUGGUGUCGAUAGAAGUGACCAAUUUAUGGCAUAUUAUCCUUUUCAUCGCCGUACCCUAAAGUAGUGGAAAAAGUUUUUCUUACAUUUUCGGCCUCACUAUUGUCAAUAGCCAUAUUGUAUAUAAUAAAUUGACCACGGGUCGAAAAAUGCCACUUAGAAAAUAACAUUUGGCUAUCAUGGAAAAGUUGAUGGAAGAAGCAGGUACAGAAAUUUUGAAUGAACAGCCAAGUGCAUCUGGAUCAUCAGAGAGGCUGAUUGGAAAACAUUUCCUCACCAAAAUCCCUGCUACUGGCAAGACCACCAUCCAGAAGAGGUGCAAAGUUUGCUCUGACAAAGGAAAAAGAUCUUCUGGUAAAAGAGUGAGGAAGGACACCAGCUAUAUGUGUGAGACCUGUCUGGUUCCUUUAUGCAUUGCUGACUGUUUCAAGGCCUUUCACACAAAAGAGAGCUACUGGGAGUGAUUUAUAUUAAAGUUUGAUUCCUCGUCAAUCUUUUCCUCAGAAAAAAAUUCGUCAUGUAUAUUAUUUUUAUAUAUUUGAUUUAUGGAGUGGAUUUGGUCAAUUUGUAUUUUUUAUCUCUCUUUUAUGUACAUAUCUCUUAUAAUUAACAUGUAUAAUCUUAAAUUUACAUUUAACAAUAAUUUUGAAGUGUAUUUUAUUGAUUCUCAUUAAAAUAUUUUAUAAAUAUCGAGUUCUUAAUGAUUUAUGAAUUUUUAAAAAACACUCAAAAUGGAACGUCCCGGGAGAUUACAUCAUACCUGUACUUACGACCUUCAAGUGUUAACACUUUGAGCCCAUGAGAAAAAGAAGGGCAAAUUCCGCUGGGACGCGCAUUUUUUGAUUGUUGUUAAAAAAUUCAUAAAUCACAAAAUUGAUGACUUACAUUAAUUAUUUUAUUUGCAACUACUUAUAUACCCUUUCUAGUAACUUAUAAGACUGCAAAAUCUUUUUUAUAAAUGAUUAAAAAAUUAAUAUGAGACAUUUAAAAUAGGUAAAAAUAUACAAAAAAUCGAAUUCACUCCAUAAUAUAUGGUUGCAAAAAUAUAUGUAUAUAACAUAUCUAGAUAAAGAAAAUAAAAAAUAUGUAGGGAAAUAAAGAAAUCAAAUAAUAUUGAGAUUAAGCUCAAAAAUUUUCUUUGGUGUGGUAAAUCUUGAACCAGUCAACUAGACAAAGUGGGACCAAACAGGUCUCACACAUAUAUGCAGUAUCCUUCCUUGCUCUAUUUCCUGUUUUUCUUUUUCCUUUUUCGGAAAAGACUUUACAUUUUCUCUGAAUAUAUGGCCUUCUUUCCCUUCCACUUUGAUUCUGGUUAUGAAAUGUUUCCCCAAAUGCCUAUCUGGAGAGCCAGAAGCACCUUGCUGCUCAUCCAACAUUUCAACACCUGCCUCUUCAACUAAUUUUUCUAAAAUUCUCAAAUUGAAUUCUCUAGGUUCAAUUUCUUGUCCUGGUUCAAUUUAUUGUAAAUAAUUUGUGAAUUUACGAUACCAAGGUUGAAAAGGUGCAAAAAUACCUUUUUCCACCACUUCAUUGUCCUACGAUAGAAAGGGUAAUAGGACAUGUAUUGAUCACUUCGAUCAACACCAGCUUUAUUUUUGUUGUAAUCAACAACCACUGCUGGUUUCAUUGUUAGCUCUGGUUCUGGAGUUCUUUUAGAUAGUAUUAGAUAGUUGCAUCUGAACCAUAUUAUCCAAAAUAAAAUCUGGAUCAAUAACAGAAUCAUCCAAUUCUGAACCAGAAUCUUGAAAAUAUUCAUCACCAAACUCCUCAGAUUCUGUAAUUGGAGCUAUUCCCGAGGUACUGGGUUGAUCAAGAUCCAUUUUAGAAGCGAGCGCAAAAAAAAAAAUGACAAUAAAUAAAAUAACAACCGUCCAGGAAGCUAACGGUAGAAGGAGGAAACAUGAGGAGAAGUGACGUCAUGGAAAAAUCCCCCAACGGGACCCCUUUCACCCUCCCCCGCGUGUGACCUUGAGCGCUGACGUAGACAAAUGAUGCAGCUAUUUGAUGGCAGAAGCCCGAAGGACGUGAAUUUUGCCACGAUUUAUAUUGAAUUUUGAAGUUUCAGGACGUGGAUCCACGUCCUGCGGGCUUUAGGCUUAUAUUGCUUGGACGUGGAUCCACAUCCUACGGGCUCAAUGUGUUAAUUUUAAGGUUAACAGACAUUUUUGUUCAAAUUAAGAAUAAUGAAGUAAGGAAAAGAGAUAGAUAUGAACAAAAAAUAUUUAAUAGACUCAAUUUUUAUAUAUAUAAUAAAAUGAAUAUAAAUAUAAAAAUGAAUGUAUGUGGGUGUGUGUGUGUCUGUCCUUUAUGCCUGACCAAACCACCCAUUGGAACACCAUGAAACUUUGGGAAGUUAUUUAGUAUAGUACUGGGAAGGUUUUUGAAAAAUAAUUUCUCGAAUAUCCUUAGAGUUAUUUGCAGAUUUGUAGAUUUAACUCGAAAGCAGCGCCCCGAUUGCAACGAUGAUAACAAGUUUUUUAUCUAUAAGUUUUAUUAUCACUAAGUUUAUUAUCUUAAAGAUUAUUUAUCAAAAGUAAGAUUUUCUACCUAUUAAUUGCGCAUAAGUCAAAGU